CCUACGGGUGGCAGCAGUGAGGAAUAUUGGUCAAUGGUCGGGAGACUGAACCAGCCAAGCCGCGUGAGGGAGGAAGGUACAGAGUAUCGUAAACCUCUUUUGUCAGGGAACAAAGGCGGGGACGUGUCCCCGGAUGAGUGUACCUGAAGAAAAAGCAUCGGCUAACUCGGUGCCAGCAGCCGCGGUAAUACGGAGGAUGCGAGCGUUAUGCGGAUUCAUUGGGGUUAAAGGGUGGGCAGGCGGGCUGUUAAGUCAGCGGUCAAAGCCCGGGGCUCAACCCCGGCCCGCCGUUGAAACUGGCAGUCUCGAGUUGGAGAGAAGUAUGCGGAAUGCGCGGUGUAGCGGUGAAAUGCAUAGAUAUCGCGCAGAACUCCGAUUGCGAAGGCAGCAUGCCGGCUCCACACUGACGCUGAGGCACGAAAGCGUGGGUAGCGAACAGGAUUAGAUACCCGAGUAGUC
rnacentral:rRNA from 1 species